rnacentral:misc_RNA from 1 species
UGCUAUCAUAGUACACAUUAUAUUUGAGCUCCCGAACUCUAGGAUCUCUUGUUCGUAUCGCUUUGACACAUCCUCAGCUUCAACUUUAGCAGUCACAGCAAAUUUAGUUUGAGAAAACCCAAGUUGUUUGAUGAUUGUGUCAAUGAAGCUAAAGAAGAAUGCACUGGUCCUUCUGAAAAGUAACAUUCUUUGUAAGUUCCACCAAGCUUUGAGUGUACAGCCACAAGUUAUAGCCUCAACUAUGCUCCAACAGUUCUUGGUUACAAAGACAUAUGCAAAGGGUAUGGCCCAUAAGCUUGUAACCUCUGGGAAUAAGGAUAUGCCUUGAAGCAGACAAAGUGCAGGAACGGUGGCAUAAUACAGCAUUGGUAUCGAAAGAGGAGCCCAUAAAAGAUAUACACAAUAUCCCAUUUGAGCUCCAAAUUUGAUCUUCCCAUGUCCAUAUAUGAAGGGGCAAUACUUGGACAAAAAUAUUUGAAACAUGCCCGCAGACCACCUCUUAUAUUGAACUAGAGCUACAUCCAAGCUAAUCGGAGCAACACCCAAAAAGGCUCUUUUCUUUGGAUUAUAGUAAAUGGAUCUCCAACCUCUGCACUGUACUGUUAACCCAGUAACAAUAUCUUCGACCGGGCACCCGUAUACUAAUCCCAUCUCCUUUCCCCAUUGAGAGCCAUUUUCAAAGUUGCAGUCAACGAGAAGCUUACAUGCCUCUUCCAAUUCAUUAACAGGUUUUGG